ensembl:lncRNA
UUUAAAAUGCAGGUUUCACCUCUGCUUCUUCUUGAUGUAACGUGCUUUAUGGAUGACACGCAAGCAUCUAAGGGUGAGGCAGCGAUGCAUGUCGGUGAAGAAGGCUGAGGGCAACAUGUGGAACAAGUUGGCUGGGAGUGAAAGCUGUUUCUCAGAAUUCACUGGUGGAGGCUGGUGGAAGUUGAAGGCAGAGGAUGUAGAUGGACGUUCGGGUUGCAGGCGCCUACUAGAAUUGUCAAGUGGAGGUGGAGUUUCAGGUCAACGGCGGGGACCAGAGAUGAAGAUUCAGGAAGCCUGCUAGUAUGGAGUAGACUGAAGGCUGGAGGCUGGACCAAGAAGGAGAUUGAGCAGGUUUCAAGAGCUGUCUUCCAGGAUGACAGGUGGAGGCCAGGGGUGGAGGUGGCUGUGGAGGGCUGAAGGAUUUUAGUUGCUAAAGGAGGCUGUAGAAAGAGGUGUGAACUGCAGCUGGCUGCCACAAACAGCAGGUAGAGGAGACACCUGCAGGAGGAGGCUCCUGCAGUUGACUGGCAAAUACUGGAGGUGGAUAUUGGGCCAGCUCUUUCUGCCAAACACUACAGAUGGAGGAAGCCCCUGUAGUAUACUGGCAGAGGCUGUAGGUGGACGUUUGGCCUCUCAGUGUCUGCCAGUAAAAUGCAGGCGGAGGAGGCUCCCGCAGUUUACUGGCAGAGGUUGUAGGUGGAGGUUUGGCCUCUAGGUGUCUGCCAAACGCUACAGAGGUUUGGUCUGCAGCAGUCUGCCAGAAUAUACAGAAGGGGGACACACCUGCAGUAUAUUGGCAUGGGCUCCAGGUGGAGGUUUGGACUGAAGCAGUCUGCAAGUAAAAUACAGGUGGAGGAGACACCUGCAGUCUACUGCUAGAGGCUUCGGGCUUUAGGUACACACAUUUCAACUGCAAUGAACUGCAGGAGGAGGCUCCUGCAGUUCACUGGCAAAUACUGGAGGUGGAUAUUGGGCCAGCUCUUUCUGCCAAACACUACAGAUGGAGGAAGCCCCUGUAGUAUACUGGCAGAGGCUGUAGGUGGACGUUUGGCCUCUCAGUGUCUGCCAGUAAAAUGCAGGCGGAGGAGGCUCCCGCAGUUUACUGGCAGAGGUUGUAGGUGGAGGUUUGGCCUGCAGACAAAAAGAAGGUGGGCCCUGCAGUUUGCUGGCAGAGGCUGUGGAUUGUAGAUGUUAAGCCGAAUUUUAAAGUGGAGGUGAUUUUCAAGUCAACGGAACGGACCAGAGAUGGGGGUUCAGGAGGCUUGCUUGUCUUUAGAAGGCUGGACACCUCCUUUACUGGCAGGGUGAAGGAUCAGGCCUGGAGUUGGACCAAGCUGAAUUGACAGGUGCAGAUCAGGGAUGGAGGCUGUUAUGGAGUGCCGGCGGAUGAAAGUUGUUGAAAGUGGCCAGGGGAUUUGGUAUGUAAGUCGGCCUGUACAGUGCAGACGGAGGAUGCACCUAAGUUUCGUGGCAGAGGGUGUUGGUGGAGGCUUGGCCUGUAGCUGUCGACCAGUAAAAUGCAGUGGAGGCGGCAUCUGUGGUUUACUGGCAGAGGGUGUGGGUGGAGGUUCUGAAUAAUAUUGUCUGCAACAAUCUGCAGGUGGAGGCAGCACCUGCAGUUUAAUGCCGCAAGCUGUCAGUGGAGGUUUGAGUUUGCAGGUGGAACUGGAUACUUCUGGUAGAGCAUAUUAAAGCAGCUGUCUGCUGCCUGCUAGCGGAGGCUAGGACAGCAGAUGGCUGACAUAAUAUGAAAGUAAGAUUAAGUGCUUUUAAGUGAAAGAAGGUGCUUUGAACAGACCUUUGUUGAGGAUUGCACAGGCACUUCAGAUGCAGUAAGUGGAGAUAAUCGUGUUCCUGUCUUACAGAAUUGGAAGGUUGGAGCAUUAAUACAGAAAUACUAUCAAAUCAAAAAUAUACAACUAAAUACAACUUAAUACAGCUUAAUACAACUUAAUUAUUACAACAUGUAAAUUAUUUUAAUUUAAGUAAGUGAUUUCAAACUCAGAUAAAGUCCUUUCAAAAGAAUAAACAUUCUUAUUUGGAUCAUAGUGUUGAAUAUUACCUGGAGCUUCAGUGUUUCUGUUGCACCACCCAGCUGUCAAACUGGUCCCGCCACUCUAGAUAAAGCCUCAUGUCUAC